CUUUAGCAUGGUUUCAAGUGCAACCUUGAAAAUUGGUUUCUUACAGCAUUUUGUGGGGCACAAGCUGGGAGCUGAGAGCAACAAACUCCUUUGGUCAUGAGACAAGCUUCACUUCACUCCUGUUGUUUCCAGUCACCACAGAAACCAAAGUGAAGGGGUGGACAUAUGGAUGCUUGGAUACCUGUCCAAUACAGCAUCAAGAUAGAGCUGAAGCUUAUACCCAGACCUGGUUAACUCACUUUAUGGUUCUCAUGACCUGAAUCAAAAAAUAGCUUUAAGAUGGCUGAAUGGAUACUCAUCUAGUGAAUUGUUUUCUAUAAUAUUAUGAUAAUGAAUUGAAUCAUGAAAAACAAUAAUAAAACAUCUCCAUAUUGCAUCCAUGGAGAUUCACUAGGGUGAAUUACACUAAAUGGAUUUUUAUGUGGAAUGGGUGUCUUUUCCAAAGUUCAACGAGAGUCAAGACUACAUCCGUACAUGUUUAGGAGCCAAAAAUUGUCUUUGUUGGGUUGGAUAUCUUCCUCUUUAGAAGAACCUUUCUGUCAGAGAAACAGAAGACAGCUUUCUCCUGCCUUCCUGAAAAGUCCUGCAUGGAAUAGACUCCUGCAGGAACUGCCAGCAUGGUGUAAAUUUCUGAGGAGGAAUACUGAUUUUUG
rnacentral:lncRNA from 1 species